UGGGGGAUAUUGCGCAAUGGGGGGAACCCUGACGCAGCAACGCCGCGUGAAGGAAGAAGGUCUUCGGAUUGUAAACUUUUGUCUUCAGGGACGAAUCAAUGACGGUACCUGAGGAGGAAGCCACGGCCAACUACGUGCCAGCAGCCGCGGUAAUACGUAGGUGGCGAGCGUUGUCCGGAAUUAUUGGGUGUAAAGGGCGUGUAGGCGGGUUGGCAAGUCAGAUGUGAAAUUCCCAGGCUUAACUUGGGCGCUGCAUUUGAAACUGCUGAUCUUGAGUGCAGGAGAGGAAAGCGGAAUUCCUAGUGUAGCGGUGAAAUGCGUAGAUAUUAGGAGGAACACCAGUGGCGAAGGCGGCUUUCUGGACUGUAACUGACGCUGAUGCGCGAAAGCGUGGGGAGCAAACAGG
rnacentral:rRNA from 2 species